rnacentral:rRNA from 1 species
UACGGAGGGGGCCAGCGUUUGUUCGGAAUCAUUGGGCGUAAAGGGCGCGUAGGCGGCUUGGUAAGUCCGUUGUGAAAUCCCUCGGCUCAACCGAGGAACUGCGACGGAUACUGCUUGGCUUGAGUCCCGGAGAGGGUAGCGGAAUUCCCCAGUGUAGCGGUGAAAUGCGUAGAUAUUGGGAGGAACAUCGGUGGCGAAGGCGGCAUCCUGGACCGACACUGACGCUGAGGAGCGAAAAGCCAGGGGGAGCAA